UGACGAGUCCCAAAUAGGACGAAAUGCGCAUCCUGGAU
rnacentral:hammerhead_ribozyme from 1 species